rnacentral:RNase_P_RNA from 1 species
AAAGUUUGACAGACAAUCGCUGGCAGCGCGAGCUGCGAGAGGAAAGUCCGGGCUCCAUAGGGCAGGAUGCUGGAUAACGUCCAGUCAGCGCGAGCUGAAGGAUAGUGCCACAGAAAUGGACCGCCGAUGGCUGCUAGCGGCCGCUAGCAGAUCAGGCAAGGGUGGAACCGUGGUGUAAGAGACCACGAGGAGCGUGGGUGACUACGUUCCUGGUAAACCCCAUCUGGAGCAAGACCGAGAGGACGCCGCAGCUUUCGAGGCUGCAGCCUUUGCCCGAGGCGCGUCCGGGUUGGUUGCUGGAGCCGUGCAGCAAUGUACGGCCUAGAUAGAUGAUUGUCGCUCCACAGUGGGAGGGUCGUUCCCGUUCGAACCACCAGGAGUACAGAACCCGGCUUACGGCAAGCUUUCCGA